GGUCCAGACUCCUACGGGAGGCAGCAGUGAGGAAUAUUGGUCAAUGGGCGGAAGCCUGAACCAGCCAAGUCGCGUGAGUGAAGAAGUAUUUCGGUAUGUAAAGCUCUAUCAGCAGGGAAGAAAAUGACGGUACCUGAUUAAGAAGCCCCGGCUAACUACGUGCCAGCAGCCGCGGUAAUACGUAGGGGGCAAGCGUUAUCCGGAUUUACUGGGUGUAAGGGGAGCGUAGACGGCAGCACAAGUCUGGAGUGAAAUGCCGGGGCUUAACCCCGGAACUGCUUUGGAAACUGUGCAGCUAGAGUGCAGGAGAGGUAAGUGGAAUUCCUAGUGUAGCGGUGAAAUGCGUAGAUAUUAGGAGGAACACCAGUGGCGAAGGCGGCUUACUGGACUGUAACUGACGUUGAGGCUUGAAAGCGUGGGGAGCAAACAGGAUUAGAUACCCCUGUA
rnacentral:rRNA from 1 species